AAUUUGGAGGCUGUCGCUGGCUAGGUGAUUCUAGCAUGUGCACGUCUACACUUUUAAACACACUUGUGAACCCAUUGUAGAUCGAGUCCAUCGAAAAGUAGCAUCGAACUACCUAAUAGAGGGCUAAUUGGCUUAUCGAAAAGUAACCUAAUAGAGGCUUAUUGAAAAGUAGUGUGAACUACCUAAUAGAAAGCUUACCGAAAAGUACCUAAUAGAGAGCUAGUUGGCUUAUUGAAAAGUGGUGAGAAACUACCUAAUAGAGGGCUGAGUUGGCUCAUCGAAACGUAGUUAAUAGAGGGCUGGUUGGCUUAUCGAAAAGUAUGAGGCUUAUUGAAAAGUAGUGNGAACUACCUAAUAGAAAGCUUAGUACCUAAUAGAGAGCUAGUUGGCUUAUCGAAAAGACUACCUAAUAGAGGGACCCAGAAGAUCUAUGUUUAAUUUACACCACAUCGUAUGUCCAGAAAAUAUAAAUAAAUUACAACUUUCAGCAAUGGAUCUCUUGGUUCUCGCAUCGAUGAAGAACGCAGCGAAUCGCGAUAAGUAAUGUGAAUUGCAGAUUUUCAGUGAAUCAUCGAAUCUUUGAACGCACCUUGCGCCCCUUGGUAUUCCGAGGGGCAUGCCUGUUUGAGUGUCAUUUUAUCAUCAACUCAUUAGUCUUUGAUUAGGCUUUUGGGCUUGGACUUGGGAAUUGCUGGCUUGAUCUUUUUACCCAUUGAACAGUAUCUAAUACUUAAUAGAGGGAAAAAAGUGUAGUCGGCUGUCCUUAAAUGCAUUAGCGAGUGUUAGUCUACAUGGCACGGCCUCUUGACGUGAUAAUGAUCGUCGUGGGCUGGAAGUGUAGUGNCUGGCUUCUAAACCCGAUUGNGUGCAUACGGCCCAUAAAGCUGGAAGCGUAGUCAAAUGACAAACUGUUUGACCUCAAUC
rnacentral:rRNA from 1 species